UAGGGAAUCUUCCGCAAUGGACGCAAGUCUGACGGAGCAACGCCGCGUGAGUGAAGAAGGAUUUCGGUUCGUAAAACUCUGUUGUUAGAGAAGAACAGCGCAUAGAGUAACUGUUAUGCGUGUGACGGUAUCUAACCAGAAAGCCACGGCUAACUACGUGCCAGCAGCCGCGGUAAUACGUAGGUGGCAAGCGUUGUCCGGAUUUAUUGGGCGUAAAGCGAGCGCAGGCGGUCAAUUAAGUCUGAUGUGAAAGCCCCCGGCUCAACCGGGGAGGGUCAUUGGAAACUGGUUGACUUGAGUGCAGAAGAGGAGAGUGGAAUUCCAUGUGUAGCAGUGAAAUGCGUAGAUAUAUGGAGGAACACCAGUGGCGAAGGCGACUCUCUGGUCUGUAACUGACGCUGAGGCUCGAAAGCGUGGGGAGCGAACAGG
rnacentral:rRNA from 1 species